rnacentral:rRNA from 1 species
GACGUAGGGCGCGAGCGUUGUCCGGAUUUAUUGGGCGUAAAGAGCUCGUAGGCGGCUUGUCGCGUCGACUGUGAAAUCCCGCGGCUCAACUGCGGGUCUGCAGUCGAUACGGGCAGGCUAGAGUUCGGUAGGGGAGACUGGAAUUCCUGGUGUAGCGGUGAAAUGCGCAGAUAUCGCUUGGAACGCCAAAGGUGAAAACAGGUUGCUGGGGUUGUGCCGACGCUGAGACACGAAAGCCAGGGGAGCAAACGGG